rnacentral:rRNA from 1 species
UACGGAGGGUGCGAGCGUUAUUCGGAAUCACUGGGCGUAAAGCGCAUGUAGGCGGUUUGGUUAGUCUGAUGUGAAAGCCCACGACUCAAUCGUGGAAGUGCAUUGGAUACUGCCAAGCUGGAGUGCAGGAGGGGAGAGCGGAAUCCCUGGUGUAGAGGUGAAAUUCGUAGAUAUCAGGAGGAACAACGGUGGCGAAGGCGGCUCUCUGGACUGUAACUGACGCUGAGGUGCGAAAGCGUGGGGAGCAAACAGG